rnacentral:lncRNA from 1 species
GCUGUCUGGUCUAUACAGAAGGUGUUUGGGGAAAGUCUAUCACCCUUUUUAGGGCAUGGGAUUUUCUAGAAGCAUCUCUCUCGUGCUCUAGAACUUUGUGUUUCUCAUGAAAAAUAAAAAAGGCUACAAAUAGACGGAUGUUCUUUAAAACAAGAAACUGACACUCACUAAAAGAAAACAGAUGUACCCAUAAAAAGCAAACUGCUAUAAAUUGACUAAAAUCAAUUGUUUUUUCUUUUUUGUGGUGCUGGGGAUCAAAUGCAGGGCCUUGUGCAAAGCCAAAUUUAAAAACAAAACAAAACAUGUUUUAAAGGGUAUCUGUAAGGGCCCACUAAGCACUAUGGAAUGAAAAGAGAUCAUUUAUUUUAUUUAACAGAUACUUCAAUAGGCUCUAUUUUAAGUGCUUUGCAGAAAUUAGUUUUCAUGUAAUGCAGACACUAUUGCUUCCUCCACUUAUGGAUGAGGAGACAGAUGUACAGAAAGUAAUUAUUAGCCCAAGAUCUUGCAACUUAAAGAUGACAGAGCUCCUUUUACCCAAGAUGACAGAGCUCCUUUUAUACAAGGUUAAGCAGAUAAAGCUGGACAGUGCUGUAGGGAAUGCAGAGCAGUCAGCUCCUCCUCUCUGCCCACAGUGGUCCAGGCCCCGUCUCCAGGACAACCUCCAGCCCCAGGGUCUUGCGUAUAUUUGCAGAAAUAGUCUGUGAAUGUACUUCCUUUGGAUGCAACAGAUGUUCCUUGUCGUCUUUAAUGAAUAAAAAUAAAUAAGCAAAGAUUAAUUUUCCCAUACAGUUUGUAUGUGGAUGCCAAAGUAUCCAAGGAACCAAUGUUUUCAUUUUGAGGAAUGGAAACAUAAUCUAGAAUUUUCUAUCUUCUUUUUUUGAAAAGAAGCCCAUGAAAAUCACUUGUUCUGAUGCUUUCAUUAUCAAACCAUUAUUAUAAUCUAAAUGAAAAAAAGGUAGACAAGAAUUCGUUUUUCUGUGUUCAUGAACUCAUUUGGCAAAGAUUUUAAAAAAUUUAUUUUGAAGUUCUGGGGAGGAACUUGGAGCCUCCAGCAUGCUAGGCAAGUGCUCUACCAUUGAGCUACAUCCCCAGCCCAGCAAAGAUUUUUGAGUGUUGAUUUUGAACUAACCCCUUUGCUAGUGCUAAGGAACUCAGAUGAAAGGAACAGCUUCCGUCCUGAGAGACGACUCGUUCUGGAGGGGCAGCCAGAGGAGCAAACAUCACAAGCCCUGGAUAGGACUGGGGUUAUGAGACCCAGGAGAGGGCUACUCACCCAGACUCGGUUCAGAGGGCAGCUUUCUGGAGGAGGGAGCCCUUCCUCUGUAUCUGGGGACCAGUCAGAGCUGAGUGGGGAAGGAGAGAAGAGAACUCCAGGAAGAAGGCAAGGAACUUCAGGCAGAAAAGCAAAGGUUCCAAGGGGGAGAGACCAUGUCUAGCUAGGCCUUGUUGGCAGUAUGGCUGACAUUCCUUGUGGGGAGUCUGGAGAGAUGGGCAAGGAUCAGAGGAGGUCAAGAUAGAAGAAUGAACAAGAUACAGGUGGGCUGGAGAGGACAGGAUGGGGAAGUCACAUUCACAGGCCCUGGUUGACCUGUUAGGUGUGGCACAGAGGGGAGAGUCAUUCUGGGGGGCAAAGGGGAUCCUAGGAGGAAGAACAGGCUGGAGGAGAGGAAGGUUGGCAUCGGGGUGGUGAGGGAUAAGUGGGAGGUGGCCACUGGACAGAUGCGAUGGAUAGAGGAGGGAGUACUCCCCCAGGUCUGGACUCAGAGUGCAGCGGGGCCAGGAGGUGCAGAUCUGG